CCAUGGCUCCCCAGACUUUUCCACCAUGUUCGUCCCGCAUUAGAGCUCCAAUACUUUUGGUGUUGCCAUAUAUCGAUAGUUGCUGCACCACCACACAAGCCACAUUGAUCUUGAUUGUUUCUUUUUCUGGAAACUCCCAUAGGUGUUCCAUCAGAAAGAGAUUAGAAAUGUAGUAGUAAAAUAAACAGGAGUAGAGAUGAGAGAGGUGAUGCAGAGGAGAAAACAAAGACGGGUAUGACAGCAUAUAUAGAGAGGUGCAACCAACGGCAUGCUCCACUGUAUAUUGAUGGAAAUUCUGAAAGACAGCAGUGGAAAACUGAGAAACGUGGGAGGAAGCUUUACCCAGCGGAUAAAACUUAUAGAAACCCAAACCGAAGGCUAGGAGAAAGGCUAUUCUAGGGACUAGUUGAAUUUAAAAUUUUGCCCGGGAA
rnacentral:lncRNA from 1 species